rnacentral:lncRNA from 10 species
UAAUAAUGAGGGCGUAGCCUGUAUGACCUAAACACUUCCCCAAGAAACAAAUUGCUUAACACUGUUACAGUUUGGCAGACACAGUGAAACCAUAGCAAUAAAAGAAGUAUUUCUUCCGACAAGUCAUUUCAUAGCUACAACGUGGAAACUAAGAGUUUCCUUCUAUUUUAUUUUCUGUAGCCUGAGGACUAGCGUGGAGAAGGUUUAGCCUUUAGGAGGUCGUGGUUGCUGCUGCUACUUCUGUUAAAUGUUCCAGGACUUACUCCAUUUGGCUCCAGGACCGUACCUGCCCUUCUAAGGCAUGUUUGUGGCCUUAGAGCUGGGACAAGCUUGUGACCAUUGAAAAGAACAGGAAGAGAUGAAUAUCAGAGAUCCACAAGACAGUCUGACUCAAUAUGGAGAAUGAAAAAUGAAUCCAAUAAAUAUGUAUGUGGGCUGGAGGUCCCUGAUGUAGUGAGUCAAGAUAUGGAUUAUUUUAGAAAUGGUAUAAAUUUGAGAAGUGUAAAAAAUAACAGACUCUGUUAUAUUUAGCUUGAAGCUGCAAUGAACUGUCUCAUAUAUGUUGAGCUAAUGUUCAGUUCCCUGCUGACACCUUUCAUACUAGUAGGCCUGUUUUGUUUUGUUUUGUUUUUUGGUAGAGAAAUAAUCAGUUCUUUGGCACUGUGAUUAUUAAACCAAAACAUUCAAUACUCUCUCUAUCCAAGCAAAGAUUCAUUUUAUUGUAAAUGUCACUAUCUUUCAGCAUUGCAAAUUUCUUCACUAAAAUUUUGCUUAUACUAAAA